GGCUCCACCGCCGGGACCGCACUGCUCGCCGCCUGCUCGCCCAGCCUGGGCUUCAGAAAGCCAGAGCACACCCCGAAGAGGUAUUUUUUUUUAAGGGUGGCUAUCAUGAGUGGGCCCCGGAGACGUGAGACGGGACACCAUGAAUGCAAGAAUUGUACAGGCCAGGAAAACCAUCUUUAAUAUGUGGGUAGGUUUGUGUCUGUGUACUUAAGCUUUAACAAUGUCAGAAAUUAUCAUUAGGCAAAAGGUUACUACUUAUGGAUAGAGCCAAUGUUUUAUAGACUAGAAAAUUAAUAUGUGAAAAGAAAGUGAUACAUAUAUUAAAGGAAAAAUAACAACAAUGAAAGAUGGUCUGGUCUUUUAAGUAUGAGUUUGGAAAGAAGCAGAUACUUAGUUGUAACUUAUCAGCUUACCUUUAGGAAAGAUCCUAGAUCCUGACCUGGAAUUAUCCACUCAUACUGAAUAAUUUCAUAAAGUAGGAAAACAAUAAGUCAAUAAUGGAGCGAAUUGGGGGAACUCCUGCCAAAUGCAGAAAAUACAUCCUCCACCAAUGUGUGUAAAUUUAAUCAAUGAAUAUUUUACAAGUUCUGGUCUGUAAAUUUGAAGUUGAUAAGAUUUGUGUAUAGAGGUAAAUAGAAAUAAAGAUUUAUAUUUAAGGGGACAUUUUAAGAAGAAAUUAACAAAAACAUUUAAGAUUAAGGGCAAAGUUGAAUACAUAACCAUACGGAUGGCAUUGUGGUGUAGCUGGUAAAGCUGCUGCUUGCGAUGCCAGCAUCCAACAUGUGAGCCUGUUCAUGUCCAGGUUGCUCCAUUUCUGAUCCAAUUCCUUGAUAAUGACCUGGGAAAAGCAGCAGAAGAUGGCCAAGUGUUUGGGCCUCUGCCACCCAUGUGGUAGACCUGGAUGAAGCUCCUGGCUUCUGUCUGGUCCAGUGCUGGCUGGUGCUGCCAUCUGGGAAAUAAACCACCAGAUCUCUCUCUCUCAGUAACUGACUUUCAAAAUAAAUAAGUGAAUCUUAAAAAAAGAAAACAAAUAGGAUAACCUUGCAAUUCAUUGUCCAAACUGGGCCACUUUUCAACGGAAGAGAAUGCUAUUGAUAGUUUGAUAGAAAUGAUAAAUACAAACUAGGUGCAAAUUAGGUGAAGAAGACACCAUAGAAAAGGUAAAAUAACUGAUGGUAGGACAUGGAGCUUUAGAAUUCAAAACCUAAGUAUAGAUAUCAGAUCACUUUUUUUUUUUUUUUUUUUUUACAGGCAGAGUGGACAGUGAGAGAGAGAGACAGAGAGAAAGGUCUUCCUUUGCCAUUGGUUCACCCUCCAAUGGCCACCGCGGCUGCCGCGCUGCAGCUGGCACACCGCGCUGAUCCGAUGGCCUGAGCCAGGUACUUCUCCUGGUCUCCCAUGGGGUGCAGGGCCCAAGGACUUGGGCCAUCCUCCACUGCCUUCCCUGGCCACAGCAGAGAGCUGGCUUGGAAGACGGGCAACCGGGACAGAAUCCGGCGCCCCAACCGGAACUAGAACCCGGUGUGCUGGUGCCGCAAGGCAGAGGAUUAACCUAGUGAGCCGCGGCUCUGGCUCAGAUCACUUUUAAGAGACAAAGUGACUGAGAUUGUCAGUAAUGUAGAGGCAUGAAAAGUGGCAGGUGAUCUUUCUAGCAAAAUAAUCUGCAGCUUUCUGAGAAUAGAGAUUAUCUUAAGAAAUAGCCAUGUUGUCUAAACACAGAGAUUUUAAAGUUUAGGCUUAAGUUUCAUUAUUGUAUAUAAGCAAAAAUCGUACAGCACCUGCCACCGUAAACAGACGUCAUUUGAAAGACAUAUUCCUGUUUCAAAAAAACAAAAAAGUGAAUUACAAACAGAAAGUUUUUACUUAAUUUUUUAAAAAAAGAUUUAUUUAUUUGCUUGAAGGUCAGAGAUACAGAGAGAAAAGAAGAGGCAGAGAGAGAUUUUCGACCUGCCGGUUCACCCUCAAGUUGACCUCAAUGACUGGGGCUGAGUCAGACUCAAGCCAGGAGCUAGGAGCUUCUUCCAGGUCUCCCAUGUGGGUGCAGGGGCCCAAGCACUUGGCCAUCUUCUGCUGCUUUUCCCAGGCCAUUAGCAAGGAGCUGAAUCAGAAGUGGAGCAGCGGGAACACAAGCCAGUGCCCAUACGGGAUGCCAGCACUAUAAGUGGCAGCUUUGUCCUCUUUGCCACAACACCAGCCCAAAAUUCUAAAAAUAAGUAUGAAAUACCUCUUGGAAAUGUAAACAAAAUCUGAUAAAAAUGAUAUCAUUUCCAAAUGCCUGAGAGGAAGAUAGACUCAAGAUUAAAAAUGUGUCAAGUGUGCUAUUUUUCAUAUUUAGAGAAAUCAGAUCGUGCUCCUGGUGAUGGCCAUUAGUCAGAUUCCUUGGAGUUUAGUUAUUUUACUAGGGCAAUUUAUUAGUCUCAGUCAUCCUAGAAUUCAUGAGAAUAUAUGAUCGGAAAGAUAAGGUGGGCAAAACUGUCAUUGAAUGAAUUAAUUUUAUUGAUAUGAGGGAAAUAACUUAUUAAGAUUUUGCCAAUAAGUAAGAUACUCAGUAGUCAGGAAAUUUUCAAUACCACUGAUGACCUGUACCCGUCCUUGUAUAUAAGGGAAGAUACAGGGUAAUAUAUAUUUGGUGUAUAUAUAUACACAUAUAUAUAUUAGGUAGUCAUUUAUCUAGAAGUACACCUCAGACAAUUCGAAAACAACAUAUGGUGCUGCUGUAGAUUUAUUUUUAACCCAUUCAUCAUUGCUUACUCCCCUGAAAUAUAAUUUUUAUAAUCUCUCUUGUUGUGUUUCUAGCUGUGUCUCUAUUCCCUAUAGGAGGAAUAUACUUCCUAAACACAUGACAUUGGUUUUGGCCAUGUAAAGAUCAUCAUAAGAUCAUGUUCUUGGGGCUGGUGCUGUGGCAUAGCUGCCGCCUGCAGUGCCAGCAUCCCAUAUGGGCGCACCAGUUCCAGUCCCGGCUGCUCCACUUCCAAUCCAGCUCUCUGCUGUGGCCUGGAAAGCAGUGGAAGAUGGCCCAAGGCCUUGAGUCCCUGUACCUGUGGGAGACCUGGAAGAAGCUCCUGGCUUCUGGAUUCAGAUCAGCCCAGUUCUGGCUGUUGUGGCCGUUUGGGGAGUAAACCAGUGGAUGGAAGAUCUGUCUCUCUCUCUCUCUCCCCUUGCCUUUGCCUCUCUGUAACUUUGCCUUUCAAAUAAAUCUUUAAAAAAAUCAUGUUCUUCACAGAAGCUACUCCAUCAGCCCAGCAUCAGAAAUGAAGCACAGCCAGAAGAGCUAAGUCACAAGGGCUGAUAUUGCAUCACGUGAGACAAAUAAUUAAACAUUGUGGUAAAGGCCCACAUCAAACACCAUGCAAAUCAUUCCAGAUCUGGUGAUUUAUUUUUUUAUGAGAACAAAGCUAGCUAAUAUAAGUAACCUUCAAAACUUGUGUGAGAUAUAAUAGAUUAAUUAUAGUUUAAAGGAAAUAAGUUGAACAUGUCUACUUUUUUAUUUUACAUUGAUGCAAUGUUGUUCAAGGAAGCUCUAAUAAUGUAUAGCAGCUUGUGAAUGAAUAUAUUGAACCUAAAAUCUAUCAAUGUUGUUAGCCCUUAAUGUUACACACCUAGAACUAUCCCUAAAUAUUGGGUGCUGAUCAACAAUCUUUAUUGAAUUAUAAAUUGAUUCUACUCCAUAUCAAUUAAGGAAAGAUGUCAGGGCAAACCCACGUCACAUUGAAGUUAGGCAGCAGGCAUGAUCACCAACGACUUUGCCCAAUUACAAGACUUUCAAGACUAGAGCUAGCAUUUGUUAAGUCAAUGCUUUGAAGAUCUCUUGAUAACUUGCUUCAGACAAAGGUCACAGGAAGAUUAUAAAAUAACUAGAUAUAUAUGGGUGGAAUUAAAGAAAAAUAAUUUUGAGUAUAACUUGGAUGAGUGCAUCCUUAUCAACGGGAAAAUAAGCUGGACCCCAGAUGUACAUUGUACAAUUGUCAGCUAAUUUUCACUAACAACCAGCAUUGAAAUUAGUGAAAGAGACUAGAGCUGCACUUUUGCUUGGACUCAUUCACAUACAGUAUGACUCUUAAUGGAAUAAUGACUGUUAAUAUUAUAAUAAUUAUAAUUAGGUGCAUGAGGGAGCAGUAAAGACUUGUGGAAUAUAGGUGUUGGGUUUGGAUAUGUAGCUAUAAAUAUGAUAUAUAUAAUAUAUAUUAUAUAUAGCUACAUAUAUAAUAUAUAAUAAAUAUACUGCAGGUUUGGAUAUAUAGCAAUAAAAUACAGGUGUUGAAAGAUGAAUUGCUUAUUUCAAGGGAGUUCCAUAAACUUGGUUUACAGUGAUAAUAGUGAGAAGGGUUGACAUCAAAUUCCAGAACUAGUCUUAUAAAACACAUGAAUGGCUUACAAUGUAUAAACCCAACCCAGAAUAACUAUUGCUUGGUGGGUCUAUCUAAAUGAAGCUAUUAUAGGAAGUCACAGUCUAGUCAGCAGGUGUUGUAAUCACAGGAUAAUAUUGUGUCUCAAUAUAAAUGUGGUUUAUUUUACCUUGAAGUAGGAAAACAUAGUUUUAGAUAGAUACAUAGCUAGAUUGAUUGAUUUAGUGAAAUAAGUAGCUGGGAGUUCAAAAUGCUGUGAAAAGAAAAGAUUUCAGGAGCUAGUAUGAUUACAAUCCCCAGAGAGGAAAUAUAUGGAUCCCUAGAAUUCAGUGAGCUUUGGAAAUUAUAUCAAGAUGUUGAAUAGCUACAUCAUAAUACUUUGGUAGUAAAGAAAAAUUAUCCCCUGAUGAUGAUAAUAGAAGAUUUUAUGACCCCAGGGGAAACAAGCUACUCUCAUAUGGUGUCAUGAUAAUCAAUCUCUAGUUCCAGAUGUGUUGAACUUAGAGAGUGUUAAGUGCAGAGUGCAACUUCAAAAUCGCACCAAAAUACAAUAUAUUCAAAAUGUAUGGUGCACACUAAGACAUGUGCAGGCAGGGGGCUAGUUACAGACCAACUUUUCAAUUAUAUUAGAAAGAAGCCUGAUGUUCUCAGAUUCUUGAGGACUUUUCUCUUUCACUAAAGGGAAUUAACUCUGGCCUUCCUUUAAAAGAGGAAGAAAAAAAAGCCCACAAAUUUGCAUCCACCUGGGUAAUCAGGAAUUAAUCUCCAGUUUUAUACAAGUGAGAAAUCAUGUGGUCUAUGAACACAUUUUUUAAUCCAAAAUAGUUUUGUAUUCAGGGGUGAAUAUAGGAAAUUAACCUUCAAAGUUAAUUCAAGGCCAAAUCAGGGUAGGGUAAAAGGACCAAAAAAAAUGAGCAGAAACACUGUUUACCCUAGACAGCUUAAGAUUUUCAGCGAAAUGCAGAAGAUCUGGGGUAAGAGAUUCUGAGACUCUUGUGACAGAUACCAUCUUUCUACCAAUGAAUUGUUUUAAGUUUUUAUUGAAUGAAUGCAUAUUUCAUAGGUACAACUUUGGGAAUAUAGUGGUUCUUUCCCCCAUACCCACCCACCUUCCCACUUCAACUCCCAUCCCACCUCCCUUUCCCUCUCCCAUCCCCUUCUUCAUUAUGGUUCCUUUUUAGCUUAAUUUUAUAUACAGAGGACCAACUCCAUGUUAAGCAGAUUUCAACAUUUUGUACCCCCCCAACAUAUAAAGUACAGUUUGUGAGCAAGAUUUGCAGUCGAUUCUCAUAGUACAACUCAUUAAGUAAAGAGGUCCUAUAUGAGGAGUAAGUACACAGUGACUUCCAUUGUUCCGUUAACAAUGAACACUUAUUUAUGAUGUCAGUGAUCAUCAAAGGCUCUUGCCAUGGGCUGCCAAGGCUAUGGAAGCCUUUUGUGACCAUAGACUCCAUCAGUAUUUGGACACGGCCAUAAGCAAAGUGGAAGUUCUCUCCUCCCUUCAGAGAAAAGUACAUCCUUUUUUGAUCCCCCUUUCUUUCCAAAACUGAGGUUUCACAGAGAUUCUUUGUCCUACCAAUAAAUUAAAACCAGCAUUUUCUUUUAGGGUUUCCUCACCAAAUAUCAUUUCACUAAGGUCAUUGAAAAGAUCGGAGACUAUGGACUUUCCUGUAAAAGACACUUCUCUGAAAUGACCAUCUCCAACAAUGAUUCCAGUUUUGGAACGGGAAACAUAAGAAAGUGCAAAUCCUUCAUAUGACAAUAAUUCAACAGUAGUUUCCCCAAUAGGGGAGGAAAGCAUUUCGAAAGGGGAGAAAUGUUUAUUUAGUGCUGCAUUAAUAGUCUUCUGAUUUUUAUGCCAGAGAGAGAACUAGAAAAAACUACACAGUCUAUUUGGAAAUCCCUCCCCACACACCCCCAGACCAUGUAUUCCUUCUAGAUUCACAAUUCACAAGAAGUCUUGUCAAAGACUGUGCCCUUGACAAGUAAGUCAACUCAGUGCAUUACACACUUGAGAAUAUGGAUGCAAGAGUGAGUACCCAGUCAUGGGCAAGCCAUGAUAUGAAACUGAUCUAACUAUUCUUAGUGAAAGAGGUAAACUAGCAUACACUUUUUUUAAAGAUUUUAUUUUUAUUUUUUUGAAAGACAGAGUUACAGAGAGAGGUAGAGACAGAGAGAGAAGUCUUCCAUCCACUGGUUCACUCCCCAGAUGGCUGCAAUGGCCAGAGCUGCACAGAUCUGAAGCCAGGAGCCAGGAGCCUCCUCCUGGUCCCCCAUAUGGGUGCAGGGGCCCAAGGACUUGGGCCAUCCUCUGCUAUUCUAGUUCAUAGCAGAGAGCUGGAUGGAAGAGGAGCAGCCGGGACUAGAACUGGCGCCUAUAUGGGAUGCUGGUGCUUUAGGCCAGGGCUUUAACCCACUGCACCACAGUGCUGGCCCCUAGCAUACAAUUUUUAGGGAAUUUAUGUUUCCCCCAAAUUCAGAUGAUAGAGACAAUUUAUACCCCAUAUUAUGCAUGGUUACAAAAGAUACCUAAGGAAAGUGUGUAUGCAGGCUUAUUUAAUUUCAUUUUUGAAAAGUCCAGAAAUCCCCCUCAGUGUUCCCCCCAAGCCCCAAAAAGCUGUUGAAUCCACUGAAUAACUGAUUUCUCCCCCUUCUCUCUUCCUGCCUCUCUCUCUUCCCUCCCUCUCUCUCACUAAUUUUCCAUAUAUGCAAAUAUCUCCAGUAAAUAUUUGUGAAAUCAAAUAAUUUAUAUGCAUUAAGAACAACAAAGGUAUUUUAUAAUCAGGCCAAGUAAAAAAUGUACACAACUCAUGAAUUUUGGGGGGAAUAAUGGAAAUAUUAAAUAAACCAGUGGUUUUGUAGGCCAUAGAGGUGGUAUUUCUCUGCCCCCUCCUUUCCCUCCUCUUCCAUUUGUUCCUUGAAUUCCCAUAACCCCCUUCCUCCUUGCUUGCUGCUUUCCUAUCUUGCUUCAUUUUGCCUAUUAAAGUUUGUUUUGAUUGAAGACAUUCGAGGCUGAGAAGUACAUACUCAGGUAUUGCCUUGAGAAGGAGAUUCUGAAUCUUGUUUUCACUUGUCCACAACAAUUUAAUAUUGUUAACUGUGUCAUCUUGAUAGACACACAGAGAUAGGAAGGUGCUAGUGAUCUGAAACCUAACCUCUGAGGUUGUGAGGCUUGCUGGGUUGUCCCUCAUAUCCCUAACCUAUUUAAGGAGAGUUCUAAGCCAUUGUUCCUCAGAUCUGGCAAAUUAAAGUUUAAUGGGAUUUCACUGAUGGAAAGCUUAAGGGGAAUAUUCACUAAGGGACUGUCAUUUGAACACAAAAUUUAUUAAAACAGCAAAAGGGUCACAUCUUUCCUUUCUUAUGUUAGCACACUAGGGAAGCCUUGAUCGUGCUGCUCUUUUAUUGGCUGUAGGUACAUCUUUGCUGAAUGCUCCCUAAUCCCCUAAUCUGGUAGAAGAAUGCAAACUCUGUGUCCCAAAAAUACUGAGCAAAUUAAGCUUCAUCAAAAGCAGGGAAAAAGCUAAAGUCAAUGUCGGCGAUUUUAGUUUAUAAAAAUAAUUUUGACGUUGCAUUUAGUAAUAACUAAAAGAGAAAUGUUUAAUUGAUUUUUGUUUUCUGUGUUUUACAUUUUUUUUAUUCAAUAUGAAAUCAUAUACCGGCCGUCGCUGCGGCUCACUUGGCUAAUUCUCAGCCUGCGGCGCCAGCACCCCAUGUUCUAGUCCCGGUCGGGGUGCCGGAUUCUGUCCCGGUUGCUCCUCUUCCAGUCCAGCUCUCUGCUGUGGCCUGGGAGUGCAGUGGAGGAUGGCCCAAGUACUUGGGCCCUGCACCCGCAUGGGAGACCAGGAGAAGCACCUGGCUCCUGCCUUCGGAUUGACACAGCACACCAGCCGCAGCACACCAGCUGUGGCAGCCACUUGUGGGGUGAACCAAUGGAAGGAAGACCUUUCUGUCUGUCUGUCUCUCUCUCACUGUGUAACUCUGCCUGUCAAAAAAAGAAAAAAAAAAAAAGAAAUCAUCUAUCUACAGCUAAAAAUAUUUUAAGAAAUGUUAGUAAGAUUUAAGAUUCAUGUGCAUAUAUAAAUUGGAAAUUUAAUGAUGAAUAUAACAGACUCAGUAUAACCAUUUUGCUGUCAUCAAAACCCACAAUUUGGUAGGAGAACACUAAUUAAAAGUAAUAUGAUAAUUGUUAUGAAGGACAAGGGUCCUCUUGCUGUAAAUAAAAUGUCUAAUUUAAUGUCGAUAAAUGUCUUCCAUAUUUCCCUGAAAUAAAUGAUCUCACUGAGAUCUAAAGAUGAAUGUUUAGUUACCAUAAAAGAGAACAGAGAAAGUGGUUUGGGCAAAAAGAACAGAAGAAGCAAUGGCCUAAGGCAAGAGACAAUAUUGUCCCUUGGAGGAAGUAAAUGAAGGUCACCUUGGAAAGAAAUCCUGGGAGGAGGUUAGAAGCUAAAGCUGGAGAGUGAAUCAGUGGACCUUGUAUAUCUUUUUUUUUUUUUUUUUAAAUAAGAUUAAUUUAUUUGAAAGAGUUACAGAGAGAGGAGAAUCAGAGAAAGAGACACAGACAUACAGACAAACAGACAGAAAGUGCUGGGCCAUGUUGACAUCAAGAGAUAAGAGCAUCAUCAGGGUAUCUCCGUGGGUGGCUGGGAUCCAAGUAUCUGGGCCAUCUUGGGCUGCUUUCCCCAGACCGUUGCCACACGAGCUGGAUCAUAAGUUGAUGCUAACGUUACACCACAACAUGGCUGGCCCCAGAUUUUGUAAUAUCUUAGAGGCAAGAAACCCAUUAGAAGAGUAUAAACAAGAAGGGCACAUUCAGAUUUUCAUCAUUAAAUCAUUGAUUUCCCUGUUCCAUAGAGACAGGCUUUGAAAGACAAAAGGAAGUGGAUCCACUUGGGAGGAUGUUUCAUUAAUUCAUGAAAAGGAUGAUGGCUUGGAUUAGGAUACUGGUAGAGAAGUUGCUGAAAGAUGGAAAGUUUCAGAACUAUUUGGGAGGCAGAAUCAAUAGAGCCCAGGCUUCACUGUUAGGGAAAACGAGAGAAAGAUAAAUAUCUUGAAAGGAUUCUCCCGUUUCCAACUUGUAUAAUGAUAUGAACAUUGUUAUGCUUUGCUCAGAUGGCAGCCAGUGGAAGAGACAUAGAAAGAAGCAGUUGGAUAAUUGGGCUAGAAUUCAAAAGAGAGAACUGAGAUGUAGUUAUGAGUAUGGUGUAGUUAUGGACUUCUAAGAGAAGUCCUUUGGGUGAGAAGGGUUACAUGUCAUAGGACAAAAUACAGAGAAAUACAACAGAGACCGGAUAGAGGAAAACUGACGAGCUGAGUGAUUGGGAAGGCAGAGUUAGAGGAUAAGAGUAAUGCUGGCAGAGUGUGAUAUCCCACAAGUAAACAUACUGUUACUUAUUGUUAUUUGAAGGUAUGGUUACUGUUAAUAUAAAAUACUUCAGAAAUAUCAGGCAAGACAAAUAUUGGAAAAUAUUCACUGGAAAAUGUAAGCAAGAGCCCUCCAAGUAGAGGAGACAGUAGACAGGCUGGAAUGAAGUGAAAAGUGAGAAAUCUUUAAAGAAGUGGACUGUGAAUAAAAUCGUGGGGAAAGUUGCGUAGCAGCUGAGUAAAAAAUUGACUUUGAAGGAGGAUUUCUCUUUGGGGGGCAGGGGGAAUUAUUUAAGUUUAAAAAUCUUUGAGCCUGUUUAAAGGACAAAGAGAAGGAUAAUACAAAUAAAUAGAAUACAAUAUACAGAAGAGAGGAUUGUGAUUGAUUGUGUAAUUAUGGAGGUCAAGAGGAGGAUGGAGCAGCUGAGAUGCACAGUGUCUGCUGACAAAGAGCAACAAAGGAGGCCAGUGCACAGCUCAGAAAUGAGUGCUCCGGACACCACACACUCCGUCUAAAGGUUCAUUCACCUUUUUUUUUUAACCAUUUAAAGUCCAAGUAUAUGAACUAGGAACUACUAAUAUCUCCAUGUUAAAGAUUAGACAUGGAAUUAGUUGCUCAAGGCCAAUUUUAUGCCAGGUGGAGCCAGGAAUAACAUCUAAAUCCUUGACUCUAGGGUGAAACUGUUUGGCACUGCCCUGUUCUACCUAUAUAGACUUUUCCAAUAUGAGACAGGGGAAGCCUGCCACAUGUCCACCAUUAUUUUUCAGUGAAGAUAAAUUUGAUCUUCAUGGCCAGCGCCGCAGCUCCAUAGGCUAAUCCUCUACCUGUGGCACCGGCACACCGUGUUCUAGUCCUGGUUGGGGCACCGGUUCUGUCCCGGUUGCUCCUCUUCCAGGCCAGCUCUCUGCUGUGGCCUGGGAGUGCAGUGGAGGAUGGCCCAGGACCUUGGGUCCUGCACCCGCAUGGGAGACCAGGAGAAGCACCUGGCUCCUGGCUUCAGAUCAGCAUGGUGUGCCAGCCUCAGCGAGCCGGCCGCAGCGGCCAUUGGAGGGUGAACCAACGGCAAAGGAAGACCUUUCUCUCUGUCUCUCUCUCUCUCACUGACCACUCUGCCUGUCAAAAAAAAAUUUUUUUUGGUCUUCAUAAUAAAAUGCAUGAGAUUAUUCCACUAUUUUAAAUAAAGGAAACAAAGCUUAGAGUAGAUAAGAAACAUCCUCAAUAUUAUGUAUAAUAAGUGACAGACAACAAAUUUGAACCCAAAUCCAAACUGAAAGCCUCCCCUUUGCUAAGAUGAAUGGUUUUCCCUCUCUCAUGGUGGGAAAACUGUCAUGCUGCAGACCACAGAUAGUUCAAGACUGAUCCUUCAACCCCACUUUAGAAAAGAAUGUUUCUUUUUUUCUCUUUCCCCCUCUAGAGCUUACCAUAGUAAUUCAAAUGUGUUGCUCUCCUCAGUGCUCGCUCAGUACCCCACCCCUGCUUCUAUCUCAGCACAUCUCUUUGUACUGUAAUUAUCUUUUUAAUUAUGGAACAGGAUAACUGUUAAAAAGGCAGGUAGAUAGGUAGAUAGGUAGGUAGAUUGAUAGAUAGAUAGAUGCCAGCCUUGUAUAAAGUUAACCUGAAACAAACUUUGUAGAUUAACAGACAUGACUUGUUUUGAUGUGCUCUGCUUUAUGACAGUAUGGAAUGUAUAUUGUGUGGAACCCUAGCAGUUUUGAAAACAAGGAGGGUACCAUGCGUUGCUGUACUGUCACGAUAGCAUUUAAGCCUGGAAAAGAAUGCUGUUGUCCAUUGUCUUUUGGGAAACGAAGACCUCAAAAACAGCAAAGGUGGUUUGUGGGGUGGGUGGGGUACUCUGAGCUAGUAGGGAUUUCUUGCUGACUUUACAGUAUGCCUGUGCCUGGGUGCAAGGCUGGAACGUGUUUAAGUCUCACUCCUUAAGUUUGCUAGGUAAUAAAUGACCAUGGGAAAAGAAUUGGAAAAAACAAACAAACAAACAAAACCUGGUCCUUAGCUGUGGAUUCCAACAGGUAGGAUUUGGGCAGUUCUUGUUCAGCUGUUCGUCAUAGCAGUAGUAGAAAGAAUUUGUCUUUACUGUGCAAGCCUUCUAAAAAGAAUGCACCCUUAGACAGUCAAGAAAAAGUGAUAUAACUCAGCCUGCCUUUGAAAGUCACACAACUAGUCCCUUUCUACCUACUGUCUCGGGUUUCUUGGACCAGCCUGUGAAAGGAUAUCUUAGUAGAGGAAUAUCAGACUUAUUUGCAAAUGGAGAAGCAUAAAUAGUGUAAAAGACAAACAAAGCUGGACACUCUUUAAACUGAUAAGGAAAGAGUUUAAUCAGUGAGGCCUGCACAGUGGCAUAGUGGCCUAAGUCUCUGCCUGCGGCACUGGCAUUAGGCACUGGUUUGUGUCUCAAUUGCUCCUCUUCCGAUCCAGCUCUCUGCUAAUGUCUUCGAGAAUCAGCAGAAGCUGACCCAAGUGCUUGGGCCUCUGCAGAAGCUCCUGACUUCUGGCUCCGGAUCAGCCCAGCUCCAGCUGCUGCGACCAUUUGGGGAGUGAACAAGUGAAUGGAAGACCUUUCUCUCUGUCUCUCUUGUUAGUAAAAUGGUACCAUCCUUCUAAGCCCAAUCUGGCUUACUAGAACCCUAUUCCACCACUUUCCAGGCCAUUAGCAGGGUGCUGAAUGAGAAGUGGAGCAGCCAGGACACGAACAUGAGCCUAUUUAGAAUGCCAGCUUUGCAGGUGGUGGCUUAGCCUGCUAUGCCACAACACCAAAACCGAUUUUUAAUUUUUUUUUGACAUAUGCCAAAUGAAUUAGUUUGCUCAGUCUUCCUUAACAGCAUUAGGUGCUUGAUAUAUUCUCUGAAUUUAGGAAAUGAUUGAUAAGAACAUAAUCAUUAUUUUAUACAACAAAAUCAUUCAAUUCUUUCUGGCCAUUUUCCUGAUAAAAACUGUUUAAGGACAUUACUAAUAUUAAUGAUUCCUUUUGUACCAUCUCCAGAUACACAUAUUUGCUUCAUAACUUUUCUUUUCUUUUCUUUUUUUAAGAUUUAUUUAUUUAUUUGAAAGUCAGAGUUACACAGAGAGAAUUCUCCCAUCCGCUGGUUUACUCCCCAAUUGGCUGCAAUGACUGGAACUGAGCCAAUCCUAAGCAAGGAGCUUCUUCCGGGUCUCCCACACGGGCGCAGGAGCCCAACGACCUGGGCCAUCCUCAACUGCUUUCCCAGACCACAGCAGAGAGCUGGAUCAAAGUGCAGCAGCCGGGACUGGAACCAGCACCCAUGGGAUGACAGCACUACAGAUGGGGGAUUCAUGCAUUAUGCCACAGAUGGGGGAUUCAUGCAUUAUGCCACAGCGCCGGCCCCCAUAACUUUUAUUUUCACUUUGAGUGCCUGAAUUUUUCUUAGCAGCUUUUUUAAUUUAAAUAAGUAUGCAUCUCUUUGAGCCUCAGUUUACAUCUACAACUGUAUCUAUAAAAUGAGGACAGUAAUCAUGCCUGACAGAGUACUCUGACUGCUUUUUAAGCUAAAUCUUAGCCCCAGACAGAAAAAUGAAGCACGUGAAAGAGAGGCGUCUAAGUUGAAAAGGAGGAAGUCAAAUUGUCAGUGACUGUUUUCUUAUACAUAGAAAACCCCAAAGGCCCCAACAAUAAGCUAUGAGAACUAACAAAUGAUUUCAGCAAAGUGGCUGGUUACAAAAUCAACAUAAAACAUCAGUAGUAUUUCUAUACAUUUCUAUUGAUUGGGAAUUAUGGGAACAAGAUAUAAGAAAGGUUGUGUCCUGGCAGCUUCACUUCUGGUCCUGCACCCUGAUAAUAACCUGGGAAAAGCAGUGGAAGAUGAGCUAAGUGCUUGGGCCCCUGGUGUCCAUAUGAACCCAUGUGAACCCAUAUGAGACCCAAAUGAAAUUCUUGGCUCCUGGCUUCAACCCGGUCUAGCCAUCUGGGGGAGUGAACCAGCAGAUGAUUUCUCUGUCUUUCCCUCUCUCUCAGUACUCUGACUCUCAAGUAAAUAAAUAAAUCUUUAAAAAAAUAAAACAGAAGGAGAUCACAUUAAGAAUAAACCCCUCGGCUGGUGCUGUGGCUCACUAGGCUAAUCCUCCGCCUGCGGCUCCAAUACCCCAGGUUCUAGUCCCGGUUGGGGCGCCGGUUCUGUCCCGGUUGCUCCUCUUCCAGUCCAGCUCUCUGCUGUGGCCCAGGAUGGCAGUGGAGGAUGACCCAGGUCCUUGGGCCCUGCACCCGAGUUGGGAACCAGGAGGAAGCAUCUGGCUCCUGGCUUCAGAUCGUCGGCACAACGUGCCGGCUGUAGCGGCCAUUUGGGGGGUGAACCAACGGAAGGAACACCUUUCUUUCUGUCUCUCUCUCUCUCACUGUCUAGCUUUGCCUGUCAAAAAAAAAAUAAAAAAAGAAUAAACCCCUCAAAACAGAAGAAAUUUUAAUCAAAGAAAUGAAAAAUCUCUAUAAUGAAAGCAAUAAAUAUUGAAGAAAUUGAAGAUGACACAAGAAAUGGACAGAUGUCUUGUGUUUAUGGAUUGGAAAAAAAUCAAUAUUUUAAAAUUUUACAUACUACCCAAAGCAAUCUACAGAUUCAUGCAAUCCCUAUUAAAAAGAUGUGUUUCACAGAACUAGAAAAGCUGAUCUCAAAAUUUGUAUAAAACCACAAAAAAAACCCACAAAAAUCCAAAUGCACAAAAGAAUCUUGAACAAAAAGAACAAAGCAAGAGGCAUUACACUAUCUGUCCCCAAAACAUACUUCAAAUCUAUAGUAAUUAAAACAAGACAGCAUUGGCAUAAAAACAGACAUAUAGACCAAUAGAACAGAAUAGAGAUGUAAUCCCAUGCAUUCGCUAGUCAGCGAAUUUUCCACAAAGCUUCUAAGAAUACAUAUCGGAGAAAGGAUAGCCCCUUUAAUAAAUGAUGCUGAGAAAAGUGGAUGUCCACAAGCGGAACAAUGAAACUAUACCCUCUCUCACAAUAUAUGAAAUUUAAUGUAAAAUAAUCAAAUACUCAAACAUAGGACAGGAAACUAUGAAACUACUAAAAUAAAGUGUUAUACUUAAGAACAUUGGAAUGGAGAAGAAUUUUGUGGGUAAGAUCACAAAGGCAGAAGCAAUAAAAGUACAGAAGAGACAAAUGAAAUUAUUUGAAGCCACAAGUCUCCUUAGAAACAAACAACAGAGUAAAAAGAUAGAAACAGAAUGUUUCCAAACUAUACAUCUUACAAGGGAUUAAUAUUCAGAAUAUAUAUAAGCAGCUCAAUAGCAAAAACAAUCGGAAAAAAAUGGAAAAUAAAACUAAAUAAACAUUUAUCAAAAGAAAACAUACAAAUGGCCUAUUUAUAUAUGAGAGAAUUCCCAACAUCAUCAAGGAAAUGCAAAUUAAAACCACAAUGAGAUACCACCUCACUCCAGUGAGGAUGGCUAUUAUAAAAAGUGGAACGAUAGAUAACAAGUGCUCCUGCAAGAGAAAAAGGAACCCUGAAACACCGCUGAUAGGCAUGCACAGUCUUAAUGGAAAACAGUUUCCUCACAAAAUUGAAAAAAGAAUUGUCAUGUAAUCCAGUAGCAAUUCCACCAUUGGGUAUGUGCCAGCUGGAAAUGAAAUCAAUAUGCUCAAGAGGCAUAUGCCCUCACAAGUUUUUUGCAGUAUUAUUCAUAAUCGCCAAAAAAUUAAAAUAAUAUUAGUGCUCAUCAAGUUAUGAAUAGGUUAAUGAAAUGUGGUGUUGGCACACAAUGGAAUAUUACUCAGGCGUAACAAGUAUGAAAUACUGUCAUUUGUAAUAACAUGAAUGGCAUUGGAGCUCAGAAUAUAUCAAAAGAGGCGCCAGGAUUGUGGCACAAUGGGUUAAGCUGCUGCUUGGAGGAUGUUGACAUCCCAUAUCAGAUUGUCAGUUCAAGUCCCAGCUCUGCACUUCUGAUACAGCUCCCUGCUAAUGCACCUGGAGAGGCAGCAGAAGAUGGCCCAUGUGGGAGACCAGGAUGGAGGACCUGGCUCCUGGCUUCAGCUGACUUGGAUUUUGUCAGUCAUUUUGGAGUGACCUGGCAGAUGGAAAGUUUCUGUCUCUCUCCCUUUCUCUCUCUUUCUUACUCCAUCUUUCAAAUAAAUUUUUAAAAUGCUUAAAGAGGAAUAUGUCAAAAGAAAUAAUCCAGUCUCAAAAUGUUCAUCCCUUAGCAGUUGAGACUUGAACAAUGGUUACUGGAGACUGGGAAAAAAUGGAGGGAGGGUUGAGGACAGGUCCAUCAGUUUGUACGAAGAUAGGAGAGGGCCAGUGCUCUUGGAUAGGGGGCUAAGCUUCCGCCUGUGGCAUCAGCAUCCCAUAUGGGCGCCCAUUCGUGGCCCAUGCUCCUCUUCCAAUCCAACUCUCUGCUUAUGGUCUGAGAAAGCAGUGGAAGAUGGCCCAAGCGCAUGGGAGACCCACAAGAAGCUCCUGGCUCCUGGCUUUGGAUCAGCUCAGCUCGGGCCCUUGCAGCCAUUUGGGGAAUGAACCAGCAGGUGGAAGAACUUUUUCUCUGUCUCUCCCUCUCUCUGUAACUCUGCCUCUCAAGUAAAUAAAUAAAAUCUUUUUUUUUUUUUUAAGGAGAAAUAGUCUGUUCUACUGCAUGUCAGAUAAGUAUAGGUGAUAAUGUGUUAUAUAUUUCUUAAAAAGCUGAAAAAUUAUUUUGAAUAUUUUCAUGUGUCCAAAAGGGAAAGUUUAAGUUAUAAAGCAUGAUAUAAACAUUUUAGAUCUUGUAUGAAGAUUUGAAAUAUAGUACAGAAAUAGAAUUCAAGCGACAGAUGAAGUCAUAGCUACUCAUAAAUACUGAGAAAAUAUAAUUAUGUAAUUAGCUAUUGAGCAUAACUAAAUAUGUUUGUACAAAAUACCAACUGAUCUCUAAUACUGCAUUUGCUAUUAUUGUAGUAGACUUGAAUCAAUUUAAUACUUUAAAUCAAGCCAUAUAUGAGUACAUGUAUAAUUAUGAAUAUCUCACGAUUAAUUCCUCCAAGAUGACAUUAUUUUAGGCAUAGUAUCUUUAAAAAAGACAAAUGAUUACCUAGCAAAAGGGACAUUCCAUUGAUUCUAACUCAAUUCUGCCUAUCAGAUUUGGAAUGACCAGUACUGACAUGCAUCAAUCUAUAUAUAAAAUCAUGUGUAAUGUAAAUAUAAUUACAUGUAAUAUUCACAAUUAUUAUAAUGUCAUAGAAUAUAUAUCUCCUGAGUCUCUAGUGUAUAAACUAGUCAUAUAUUUAACUAUAUGCUUAUGUAUAUAUGUGAAUAUGUGAUGUUUAAAAAUAAAUGCUGCUUAAAAUAUUUAACAAAACAUCAAAUUUAAUAGGCUGAGACUUUUAGGAACAUCUCUUCUUUUCUAAAAACUGCAGGUCAAAUUUACUUAGUGAAUAAGUGUUGAUAAAUAUGUCUUCAGUUUUAUGUAUUUUUUCAGCAAGAGCUUGAAAAAUAUCUAUCAACAAUUCCAAAAUAGCAUUUUUUAAGACUCAUGUAUAUUUGGUAAUCCAUGAAGAUACAAUGUGAUUGGUACAUAAACUUAACAUGGAAAUAUCUGGUAAACAUUGAUUAUUUAAAAUGAUUAUAUAUUUACAAUCAUUUUAUCAAUUUGUAUAAUGUUUUUUUAAAAAAGUAGAACUUUCUGAGUUUGAGUCUUUUCAAAAGAAAAGACUGUAAGACUGCAUCAAAUACAGUUUACUUCUGAUUAUAGUAUAAAUGCUAUGAAUGACAAAGAAAUUUCGGGGAGACUAAGACAACCAAUGCCAGAUAAGAGUAGGAAGAUGAAAGAGAUAUCAAUAAAAGAAAAGAAACACAGUUUUGGAUGUCUUAUAAAAUUAGGUCAAUGCAUUUGUUAAUUGCUUCUUCUUUCAAGAGGUCUUUUGAGAGAGUUAACGUAAUAGUUAUUUCAAGAUUAAAAUACUUUUCUGUUCUCUUUUUCAUUAAAAUUUUUAGUAUCAAGGGAAACUCACCAUAUUACACUUUCAAUCAGUUACUGUACAUGAAUGAAUGAUUUAUCUGUAACAAAAAGCCCACACUUCCUGAAAUAAUAACUAUCAACUUAACUUAUUUUAAAAAAGAUGAUUAGGGAAUAUAUAAAUGACUUUAAAAAGUUCUUGGAUAUGGGGCCGACGCUGUGACACAGUGGGUUACAAGCCUACUGCAGCACUGGCAUCCCACAUAGGCAUGGAUCCAAGUUCCAGCUGCUCCAUUUCUGAUCAGCUCUAUGAAAUGCAGGCCUCCCAAUCAGCAUUUAAGGGCUGCCCACCAUGCACAAUAUAUUUUUCAAAGGUUACUAGAAAAUUCAUAUUAUCUGUUUAGUAACACACUUGCUUUAAGCAUCUUAUCACUUCAAGGAAACAAACUCCAUGCUAAGAGGAGAUGUACGCUUUGUCCUCUGUUGUGUUCUAAGCACACAGGUGAGGACCCAAGGUAAAACAGUAAUCAAUAAGUGGUAUUGAUAUGAAAGUAUAAUUAACAUUCUAAUUAUUUCAUAUUCAAAGAACAAUAAGUACAAUAUGUAGUAUGAACAACUCACUGAUAAGAAAAUUAUUAUUAAUAUUUACUAAAGCUUAAUAAUCUGGUUGUA